rnacentral:tRNA from 1 species
GCUGGAGUAGCUCAGUUGGUAGAGCAGCUGAUUUGUAAUCAGCCGGUCGGGGGUUCGAGUCCCUUCUCCAGCU